rnacentral:rRNA from 1 species
GGGGGAAUAUUGCACAAUGGGCGCAAGCCUGAUGCAGCCAUGCCGCGUGUAUGAAGAAGGCCUUCGGGUUGUAAAGUACUUUCAGCGGGGAGGAAGGUGUUGAGGUUAAUAACCUUCAGCAAUUGACGUUACCCUCAGAAAAGCACCGGCUAACUCCGUGCCAGCAGCCGGCGGUAAUACGGAGGGUGCAAGCGUUAAUCGGAAUUACUGGGCGUAAAGCGCACGCAGGCGGUCUGUCAAGUCGGAUGUGAAAUCCCCGGGCUCAACCUGGGAACUGCAUUCGAAACUGGCAGGCUGGAGUCUUGUAGAGGGGGUAGAAUUCCAGGUGUAGCGGUGAAAUUGCGUAGAGAUCUGGAGGAAUACCGGUGGCGAAGGCGGCCCCCUGGACAAAGACUGACGCUCAGGUGCGAAAGCGUGGGAGCAAACA